rnacentral:rRNA from 1 species
CUCACACCGGUUUAAACUCAGAUCAUGUAAAAUUUUAAAGGUCGAACAGACCUAAUAAACUAGCUUCUACACCAAUUAUUUAUUUUAAUCCAACAUCGAGGUCGCAAACUCUUUCUUCGAUAAGAACUCUAGAAAAAAUUACGCUGUUAUCCCUAAGGUAAUUUAUUCUUUUAAUCUAAACUAUUAAGAUCAAACACUUACAAAUAAAUAUAUCAACAUUAAAAAGUUUACUUAAUUUUUCUAUCACCCCAACAAAAUAUGUCCAUAAACUUAAUACAAUCAUUUUCCCUCAUAUUAAAAAAUUCAUCCACAUAUAAAACUCUAUAGGGUCUUCUCGUCUUCAACACUCAUCUAAGCUUUUUUACUUAAAAAUAAACUUCUAAAAAAUUUUUAUAGAGACAGUCAUUUUUUCAUCAAACCCUUCAUUCAAGCUCUCAAUUAAAAAACUAAUGAUUAUGCUACCUUUGCACAGUCAAAAUACUGCGGCCAUUUAAAGACUCAGUGGGCAGGUCAGACCUGAAA